rnacentral:rRNA from 1 species
UACGUAGGGUGCGAGCGUUGUCCGGAAUUAUUGGGCGUAAAGGGCUCGUAGGCGGUUUGUCGCGUCGGGAGUGAAAUCCACUGGCUUAACUGGUGGCUUGCUUUCGAUACGGGCAGACUGGAGGUAUGCAGGGGAGAACGGAAUUCCUGGUGUAGCGGUGAAAUGCGCAGAUAUCAGGAGGAACACCGGUGGCGAAGGCGGUUCUCUGGGCAUGUCCUGACGCUGAGGAGCGAAAUUGUGGGGAGCGAACAGG